UAGAUCUCUAAUCCUUCAUCUCUCAAACCCUAAAACUUCACACAUAGCCUUCUCAAUAUCAUGAUUUGCAACUUGCGAACUUGAUAUCACAUUAGCGGCCAAAGACUUCUCGGCAUGAUGAUCUCAUCGGGUCUUCCCACAAUCGAAUUUCUUUUGCAGGAUAAAUUUGAUAGUGAUGACAUGGAUGUUUAUCGCUAACAUAUUUCACGAUGGGUAAAAGAUUUAUGGAACAAAUGAAGAGGACAAUUACAUGCUAAGUAUGUAAAAUGUAACUCAAUCCAAGAGGCUCUUAAGAACGUGCUGAAGGAGGUAGACAAGAAACAAUGAGAGUGAUUGCUAAAGGAACAUUGUUCUACAUGAAGUUUACAGGUUAUGAAAAAUUGAAGUUUACAAGAAGCAAUUUUUUGAGGAAGAAACAAAUUCACGACCAUCAUGUUAUAGGUGCAGUUUAGGGAUAAUAGCUAUAUAGGUUUUUGGUAAGAUAUUAUGUACAAAAUACAGUGACUAUCGUACAUAGUUGUUAUACAGUUCUAA